CCAUGAGAUAGCUCAGAGGAUAAUGGAGCUUGCUACCAAGUAUUGACUGGCUCAGGUCAGUCCCCAGGACCCACGUGGUGUAAGGGAGAGGACUAACUUGAUCUCCCACAUGCUGAGACACACACAUGUCCACUCACAUAAACACUCACACAAUCAUAAAUACAAUGUUAAAAAAUAUAAAAGAAAUGAGCUGGGCUGUGGUGGCACAUGCCUUUAAUCCCAGCACCCAGGAGGCAGAGGCAAGCAUAUCUCUGUGAGUUCGAGGUCAGCCUGGUCUAUAGAGAUAGUUCCAGGACUGCUAGCACCAUUACACAUAGGAGAAAUCCUGUCUUGAAAAACAAAAACAAACAAAGAAAAGGAAAGAAAGAAAGAAAGAAAGGAAGGAAGGAAGGAAGAAAGAAAGAAAGAAAGAAAGAAAGAAAGGAGAAAAGAAGACAAUAUGAAGAAGCCAGUGAGGAUAUGCAUGCCAUUCUUACUGGUGAGCAGAAUUUCAAUAGAAACAAUGGACAUUCUCUUACAAUGAAUGAUGCUAUGUGUUGAGAUAGUGUCUACAGAAACCAGACCAUUGUAAAAUGCUGAAAAGCUGUUCCUGCUUCUUCUGGAAUUACAGAAAAUAUUUCACUGUAUACUGACUAAUUAUCUUGGUUCCUUUAAUGUUUCCUUUUAUAAAUACACUAUAUGUUAUUACUCCUAUGUAUAGGAUGGUGACAGCAAUGAUGGUGUUACUUAAUUGAUUCCACCCUCUAUUGAAUUCUUCAGGUCUGGCAGAUACAUCACUGGGAGCAGACUGAACCUAUGAGCACCUGCCUCAUGCAUGUGCACACCUCGGUACCUGAUGGGGGAUGUCCUUCUGUAUAUAUGUUUUUCUUAUUGGUUGAUGAAUAAAACACUGUUUGGCCAAUAGAGGCAGGAAGAUAGGCGGGACUAGGAGACGUGGAGAAUUCUGGGAAAGGUAGGAAGAGAGGUGCCGCAGAGGGACGCCAUGUAGUGGAGGAAGGAGUAACAGGUCCAGACCCUUCUCCGGUAAAAUAAGACCAUGUGGAAAUACUUAGAUUAAUAGAAAUGGGUUAAUAAUUAAGACAGAUCUAGCCAAUAAGAAACCCUAACCAUUGGCCACAGUUUUAUAACUAAUAUAGCAUCUUUGUGUGUUCAUUUGGGGCUGAAGUGGCAGGACCUGGUGGGACAAGAAAACUUCAGUUACAAGUACAUGCCUUGCUUGCCUCCGUAUUCUGAGAAGGGCACCCACAGUGCUAACUUACAUAUAGCCCGGAUUUGCCCAUCACAUGAUUAGCUCAGUUAGACAUAUUGGUGUCUAGCUCAGCACCAAGCCUGUGCUGUAUUAGACAGUGUUUUAGCUUUUUGUUUUUGUUUUCCUGUUACUGAAAGACCCCUGCCCCUUAGCCCUUUCUUUCUCAAGUUUGUCUCCUCUUCCUCCUGUCGGCGGCUUCCCCGAUCCCCACCCCCGGCGGCUUCCACUUCCCCCGCCACCCGCCGCACGCCCAGCCCGAGAACGAGCACCAGGUGGGCCGGCACGAGGGCGAGCACCAGGUGGGCCGGCACGAGAACAAACACCAAGUGAGCCGGCCUGGAGCCCUGCCCCUGAGCCCCCGCCCGAUGAGAAACACUCCGUCCCAAGGUCUCCGCCCCCAAGGUCAGCC
rnacentral:lncRNA from 1 species